rnacentral:siRNA from 1 species
CUUGUUUUGGAUCUCUCUC